CAAUGCAGUCAUAUCCCUCUGCAACUCACAACUGGCAACCCACUGAAGCUCAACAGGUGUGAGCCUGGUCAGUACCUGGAUGGGUGACCUCCUGGGAAAAACUAAGGUUGCUGCUGGAA
rnacentral:rRNA from 1 species